CGGUGGCGUCGGGCACCUGCCGUGGCGGGGCACGGCCGCGGGGUGGCGCUGCGGGUGGAGGCCUUGGGCCAGCAAGGCCCCUUGUGUAGGGCUGGGCGAUUCCAGGUUCGCUGGGAUGCAGCUGGUAGUGCUAGGCAUGGCACUGUCUGCCACCAUGCCCCACAAACAUUAAGGUUCCUGUCGCUGCAUUUAUAACUGCGCAAAAAUGCCACCAGCAUGAAGAAGAGAAAUUCUUCCUCAUUGCCAAAGGCCAGAAGGAAACUUUACCCAGCAUCUGGGACUCACCCACCAAACAGCUGUGUGCUGUCAUGACUUGAACUGUAUAACUUCUGCUUCCUAAUGGGUCCUUAGGGAAGAAAAGGAACCAUGCAGUGUUCACACUCACUGAGAGGAGUGUGUGGUUGGCAGCUGGGGUUGGGAAGAGGGAAAGUGAGAUGGCAGGAUUGAGGUUUUGUAGAGAAGUCCUAGGAUGAGAACAAGAGACGUUCUGGGUGAGAAUGGCCGGAGUGAUGUCCCAGAGGGUCUUGGUAGGUGACAGGCACACCUUCCCUGUGUGAAUGGAGUAUGCUGGGCUAGCUAACUCAUUUUCAAAAGCAAUCUCUAAAAUAUUUUUCCCUUUAGUGCCUGUGAUGAUGGAUGAAGCCCUGAACUACCUAGAAAAGAGACAGGUAUCACACUUCUCUUUCAAUGUCACACCUCCAGUUAAAACUAAAGCAGGUCACCAAUUGUAGACCCUGAGCUAGGAGCACUGUGGGAGGCAGGCCCAGCAUGCAGCAUGCUCCCUCCAGAGGCAGACAAACCAGGAAGCUGGCAUUCUCUGAUGUACCCUCCCCCACCUCCUAAUUCUCUCUUGCCUGAUGAUAUAUUAUAGAUUGUGUGCCAGUGAA